CCUACGGGAGGCAGCAGUAAGGAAUAUUGGUCAAUGGGGGGCAACCCUGAACCAGCCAUGCCGCGUGCAGGAAGACGGCCCUACGGGUUGUAAACUGCUUUUAUACGGGAAUAAACCUCUCUUCGUGAAGAGAGCUGAAUGUACUGUAAGAAUAAGGAUCGGCUAACUCCGUGCCAGCAGCCGCGGUAAUACGGAGGAUCCAAGCGUUAUCCGGAUUUAUUGGGUUUAAAGGGUGCGUAGGCGGCCUAUUAAGUCAGGGGUGAAAGACGGUGGCUCAACCAUCGCAGUGCCCUUGAUACUGAUGGGCUUGAUUACACUUGAGGUAGGCGGAAUGUGACAAGUAGCGGUGAAAUGCAUAGAUAUGUCACAGAACACCAAUUGCGAAGGCAGCUUACUAAGGUGUUAAUGACGCUGAGGCACGAAAGCGUGGGGAUCAAACAGGAUUAGAUACCCUGGUAGUCCACGCCCUAAACGAUGAAUACUCGAUGUUAGCGAUAUACAGUUAGCGUCAAAGCGAAAGCGUUAAGUAUUCCACCUGGGGAGUACGCCCGCAAGGGUGAAACUUAAAGGAAUUGACGG
rnacentral:rRNA from 1 species